rnacentral:lncRNA from 1 species
AAAGAAACAUGAUUUACCUAAUUCUAUUAUUUCCCUGGUGCAGAGAACAGGAAUUGAUUCAGAAUUAAAAUUCUAACUCUAUUCAUCUUUGGGUAUAAAACUGGGAGAAACAUGGUAUCUUUCUCCCUAGGUUCAUCAUCCUGGGGUGGCCUGAAAAUAAAGGAUCUGUCUCCAUUCCACACAUCUCUAUCAGCUGACAUUGCUAACGAUGAAAGGAACCCAACUCAAGAGCCUUCAAAAGAAACUCCAUGCACAUACCUGCCCCUACCACCUGUGACAUACAAUGGAACUGGAAGUCAU